rnacentral:other from 14 species
CUUUCCACACUACUAAGUUCUACGGAAAC